GCAAACUUGGUCAUUUAGAGGAAGUAAAAGUCGUAACAAGGUUUCCGUAGGUGAACCUGCGGAAGGAUCAUUAACGAGUUAGGGUCUCUCUGGCCCGACCUCCCAACCCUCUGUCUACCUGACCACUUGUUGCUUCGGCGAGCCCGCCCCUCGGGGCCGCCGGGGGGGAUACCUCUACAGGCCCUCUCUGGCCCGCGCUCGUCGAUAGCCUCUCGUCUCCAAAAUCUUUAACUAAACGUGUCUCGAUCUAAGUACCACAUUUUAGAAUGUAAAAGCAAAACUUUCAACAACGGAUCUCUUGGUUCUGGCAUCGAUGAAGAACGCAGC
rnacentral:misc_RNA from 1 species